AUUGAACGCUGGCGGCAGGCCUAACACAUGCAAGUCGAGCGGAUGAAGGGAGCUUGCUCCUGGAUCUAGCGGCGGACGGGUGAGUAAUGCCUAGGAAUCUGCUUGGUAUUGGGGUGUAACGUCCGGAAACGGGCGCUAAUACUGCAUACGUCGUGAGGGAGCAAGAGGGGGAUCUUCGGACCUCACGCUAUCAGAUGAGUCUAGGUCGGAUUAGCUAGCUUGUGGGUUAAAGGCCUACUAAGGCGACGAUUCGUAACUGGUCUGAGAGAAUGAUCAGCCACCUGAGAGCUGAGACGCGGUCCAGACUCCUACGAGAGGCAGCAGUGGGGAAUGUGGGGCAGUGGGCGAAAGUCUGAUCCAGCCAUGCCGAGUGUGUGGAAGAGGCCUUGCGUGUGUAAAGCACGUCAAGUUGGGAUGAAGGGCAGUAGGUUAAUACCUUGCUGUUUUGACGUUACCAACAAAAUAAGCACCGGCUAACUUCGUG
rnacentral:rRNA from 1 species